AGUUUCCUCAUCUAUAAAAUGGAGAUAAUGCCUCCGCGCGCUGAGCCCGAGCGCGGUCGUGCUGUUACACUAUUGCUGCUGCUAUGUCGUUAAUGACGGCACAGCCCUUAUGGAAGGGGGGCCAAGGAAGGCACGGGGACCUUCCCGCAGGACAUGGGGUGGGCACCAGCCCUAAGCCAUGCACAUAACCCACUCUGAGGUCAGGACCUGGGUUCCUUUCGUGUCCACUGGGGGCCUUAGCCGUUGUCUUCACUUCUCUAGGUCCCAGCCCUUCACAAUGGGCGCGCCUCCCUGCCUGAGAGGGAGGCCCCAGCCAAGCCCCAGUUUCCACCGCAAAAAGCCACACAGCAAACACUUAAU
rnacentral:lncRNA from 10 species